GCGGGGUGGUAGUACACCAGCUUCCCAAGCAGGGGGCACCAGUUCGAUUCUGGUAUCCCGCA
rnacentral:tRNA from 1 species